GGUGGAGGCUUCCAAAGGGAUCGCAUUGAUCUAAUUAACCAAAUCAACAUGGUGAGUGUAGAUAUUUGAUAUUGGAUCGAUGCGAUCCCUUGGGAAGUUUCUAUC
rnacentral:pre_miRNA from 1 species